rnacentral:lncRNA from 1 species
UAAAGGAGAAGCAGACUCCCCAUGGGGAACCUGAUGUGGAAAUCGUGGAAAUCGAUCCCAGGACCCCGGGAUCGAGAUCUGAGCUGAAGGCAGACACUCAACCGCUGAGCCACCCACGCGCCCCAGGUUAGGUGUUUUAAAUGCAUCUUGGAACAACUUAUGAUGGGUUUAUUGGGACAUAACCCCAUUAUAAGUCGAGGAAGAUCUAGCAAUUCUUUCAUUAAUUAAUGUAAAUAUUUAAAUUGCUGUUCAUGCAAAUAUCAUGUCCCAAAGAGUCUCUCUCUGCAAAGCUCUUUCAAGAAGAAAUGAACACAAAUGAGUGUCACUUUAUUUGGUAAAACUAAAGUAUACACUUGGUUUUCUUACUCCUGCUCGGUAAACAGUUGCAAUAUUUAACUUAACUUGCUAAUGGAAUGGGCUUUUCCCGGGGUAAUUUUCCCUUUAACAUUGCCGUAUCAUCUGUAACAGUAGGCAAUAAGGUUAAUGCUAUAAUCAGCUAUUACCUCGGUACAUACGACUUUAGCUGCUGUUCAAAUAUAGCAACAGAGUAUAGGACAACCAAGCAAGAAAAGUACAGGUUUGAAAAUUAGUGAAUCAAACUCUGGACAACAACUUAUUUUAAAAUAAAUAUGUUUUUAAAUGUUUAACAUUGAUGAUCUUUUUAAAAUAAAAUUCUUUUAAAAAUGAAUGAAAAAUGCCAAUCUCAAAAAAAUCACAUUUAUGUAACAUUCCCAAAAUGACAAAAUUAGAGUUGGAGAACAGAUUAGUGGUUGCCAGAAGUUAGGGACUAUAUGGGUAACAUGAAUGACUAAAACCAUUAGAGGACAGCAUCAGGAGAUUUUUGUGGUGCUGGAAUAGCUCUGUAUCUUGUUUGUAGUAGUGGUUAUACAAAUCUACAUGAGAUAAAAUUACACAGAACUACACACAUACUCUAUACCAAUGUCACUUUCCCAGUUUUGGUAUUGAAUUGUAGUUGGGAAAGAUGUAACUUAUGGGAGAAACUGGGUGAAGAGUAACCAGGUCCUCUCUGAACUGUCUUUGCAACCUGUGAAUAUUUAAUUAUUUCAAAAUAAAAAGUCAAAAAUAACUAAAAGUAUGUUAGAUUAUAAACAGACUUCAAAGAAUAAUUUAUGCAACCUAUAAGAUUAAAUAAAACCCAAGCCUGUGCAAUUAUUUUUUUAUCAUCUGAUUUUCCAUUUGGUAUACAAACUACAGAUAAUCUUAAUAGAGGCAAGAGUAGAAAUGAAGUAGGUUUUUUAAUUGGUUUUGCUGUCAGGAUGGUUACUGUUCAUGACAAUGUGAGUAAUAUCGAGCACUUGGGCAGCAAAUAUCUGGACUUUUUACAAAAGGCAAGUAGUACACAAUGUAAAAAAAUACAAAUAUAUUUAAAGGCUUAUCUUAAAAUCCAUUAAAGACAUUAAAAAAAUAGAAAGCAAAAAAAAGUCAUGGAACGGCAUACUUGAAACUUAAAAAUAAAAAACAUAUUUUCUGAUUUCUGUAUGCUAAUGAAGAUAAUCUGCAAAAUACAUUAUUAGACUCAAUGUGAUUACCAAACAAGAGAUUUUUUUUUAAUGUACACAUGGUAGGGAUCCCUGGGUGGCGCAGCGGUUUAGCGCCUGCCUUUGGCCCAGGGCGCGAUCCUGGAGACCCGGGAUCGAAUCCCACGUCGGGCUCCCGGUGCAUGGAGCCUGCUCCUCCCUCUGCCUAUGUCUCUGCC